rnacentral:rRNA from 1 species
AUUGAACGCUGGCGGCAGGCUUGACACAUGCAAGUCGAGCGGAGAUGAGGUGCUUGCACCUUAUCUUAGCGGCGGACGGGUGAGUAAUGCUUAGGAAUCUGCCUAUUAGUGGGGGACGACAUUCCGAAAGGAAUGCUAAUACCGCAUACGUCCUACGGGAGAAAGCAGGGGAUAUUCGGACCUUGCGCUAAUAGAUGAGACUAAGUCGGAUUAGCUAGUUGGUGGGGUAAAGGCCUACCAAGGCGACGAUCUGUAGCGGGUCUGAGAGGAUGAUCCGCCACACUGGGACUGAGACACGGCCCAGACUCCUACGGGAGGCAGCAGUGGGGAAUAUUGGACAAUGGGGGGAACCCUGAUCCAGCCAUGCCGCGUGUGUGGAGAAGGCCUUAUGGUUGUAAAGCACUUUAAGCGAGGAGGAGGCUACUGAGACUAAUACUCUUGGAUAGUGGACGUUACUCGCAGAAUAAGCACCGGCUAACUCUGUGCCAGCCGCCGCAGUAACAC